GUCUGUUUGGAGUUAUAGAAAGUCUAGCCUGCCCACUGAUAAGUUUAAGGGCCGCGGUAUUACUGACCGUGCAAAGGUAGCAUAAUCAUUAGGUUUUUAAUUGAGAUCUUGUAUGAAUGGUUGGACGAGAGAAAUACUGUCUUUAUAUUGAAUUUUGAAUUUAACUUUUAAGUGAAAAGGCUUAAAUAUGUUAAGGGGACGAUAAGACCCUAUAAAGCUUUACAUUAAAAUUAUAUUUAAUUAAAUUUAUAAAUAAAGGUUUAAUUUAGUUAUUUGUUAUAUUGGGGAGAUAAAAGUAAAAUUUAUAUUAACUGCUAUUUUAUUAAACAAAGAUUAGUGAGUAUAAUUAGUGGAUCCAUAUUAAUGAUUAAAAGAGUAAGUUACUUUAGGGAUAACAGCGUUAUUUUUUUUGAGAGUUCUUAUCGAAAAAAGAGUUUGCGACCUCGAUGUUGAAUUAAAUUGUCUAUAUAGCGCAGGAGUUAUAUAAGAAGGUCUGUUCGACCUUUAAAUGUUUACAUGAUUUGAGUUCAGACCGGUGUAAGCCAGGUUGGUUUCUAUCUCUUAAUUAUAAGUUGAAUUAUUUUAGUACGAAAGGAUAAC
rnacentral:rRNA from 1 species